ACCCAUUCCGCGAGAACCGGACGGACCGC
rnacentral:sRNA from 1 species